rnacentral:ncRNA from 1 species
AAUGCUUUAGCAAUAUAAGGAAUCAAGGGUAAGUUGAUAAACAAUAAGACGACGUUGCCAAUAUACAUAGAAACAAUGACUGACCAAAACACUUCUGGGUUAUCAACAAAUAAGCGUGGACC